AAGUCGUAACAAGGUUUCCGUAGGUGAACCUGCGGAAGGAUCAUUAAAGAGAGAAAAAUAAACCAAGAGCAAGAGGAGACAUAAAAAACAAAGUAGGAAAAAAAAAGAGAAAACAACUUUUAGCAACGGAUCUCUAGGUUCUC
rnacentral:misc_RNA from 1 species